rnacentral:lncRNA from 1 species
UUGUAUUUUUAGUAGAGACGGGGUUUCACCAUGUUGGCCAGGCUGGUCUCAAACUCCUGACCUCAAGUGAUCCGCCCGCCUUGGUCUCCCAAAGCACUGGGAUUACAGGCUUGAGCCACCACGCCUGGCUGUUUUCUUUUUCUUUUUCUUUUUUUUUUUUUUUUUGAGACAGGGUCUCGCUUGAACCCGGGAGGCGGAGGUUGCAGUGAGCUGAGACGGCGUCACUGCACUACGGUCUGGGCGAUGCAGCGAGACUGUCUCAAAAAAAAAAAAAAUUAAAUUAAAUUAAAAAGUUAAAUGGAACUGAAUAGAUCAUGUAAGAAUGUCUUCAUAGCCCAGCGCAGUGGCUCACGCUGUAAUCCCAGCACUUUGGGAGGCCGAGGCGGAUGGAUCACCUGAGGUCAUGAGUUCGAAACCAGCCUGGCCAAAAUGGUGAAACCCCCAUCUCUACUAAAAAUACAAAAAUUAGCUGGGCGUGGUGGCGGGCGCCUGUAGUCCCAGGUACUCAGGAGGCUGAGGCAGGAGAAUGGCGUGAACCCGGGAGGCGGAGCUUGAAGUGAGCUGAGUUCGGGCCACUGCACUCCAGCCUGGGUGACAGAGCAAGACAGAGGCGGUGGCUCUCACCUGUAAUCCCAGCACCUUGGGAGGCUGAGGCUGGCAGGUCACCUGAGGUCAGGAGUUCAAGACCAGGCUGGUAAACAUGGUGAAACCCCGUCUCUAUUAAAAACACAAAAAUUAGGGACAGGCGCGGUGGCUCACGCCUGUAAUCCCAGCACUUUGGGAGGCUGAGGAGGGUGGAUCACUUGAGGUGAGGAGUUCAAGACCAGCCUGGUCAAUAUGGUGAAACCCUGUCUCUACUAAAAAUACAAAAAAUUAGCUGGGCAUGGUGGUGCAUGCCUGUAGUCCCAGCUACUAGGGAGGCUGAGGCAGGAGAAUUGCUUGAACCUGGGAGGUGGAGCUUGCAGUGAGCUAAGAUCCUGCCACCGCACUCCAGCCUGGGCAACAGAGUGAGACUACAUCUCAAAAAAAGAAAAAUUAGUCAGGCAUGGUGGCACAUGCCAGGAGAAUCGCUUGAACCCAGGAGGAAGAGGCUGUAGUGAGCCAAAAUCGUACCACUGCACUCCAGCCUAGGCAACAGAGUGAGGCAACAGAAAGAGGCCUCUUUCAACAGGCCAGGCGCGGUGGCUCACGCCUGUAAUUCCAGCACUUUGGGAGGCCAAGCGGGGGCAGAUCACCUGAGCUCAGGAGGUCGACACCAGCCUGGGCAACAAGGUGAAACUCCGUCUCUACUGAAAAUACAAAAACUUAGCUGGGCAUGGCAGCGCAUGCCUGUAGUCCCAGCUACUCGGGAGGCUGAGGCAGGAGAAUCUCUUGAACCUGGGAGGCAGAGGUUGCAGUUAGCCGAAAUCAUGCCACUGCACUCUAGCCUGGACUCCAGCUCAAAAAAAAAAAAAAAAAAACCAACAAAGAAACAAAAAAAGAAAGAUAUUUAUGGCUGGGUGUGUGGCUCACGCCUGUAAUCCCAGCACUUUGGGAGGCCGAGGUGAGUGGAUCACUUGAGGUCAGGAGUUUGAGAGCAGCCUGGCCAAGAUGGUGAAAACCCCUUCUCUACUAAAAAUUCAAAAAUUAGCUGGGUGUGGUGGCAGGCACCUGUAAUCGCAGCACGACACCACACCCAGCUAAAUUUUUGUAUUUUUAGUAGAGACGGGGUUUCACUGUGUUGGCCAGGCUAGUCUGGAACUCCUGACCUCGUGAUCCGCCAGCCUUGGCCUCCCAAAGUGCUGGGAUUACAGGCGUGAGCCACCUCGCCUGGCUGAUGGCAGUGUUUUGAACCAAAUAAUUUGUUCUUCCAGACCAGGUGAACACCCUACCCAAGGGCAGAUAAUCCACAGAUUGGCUAAUGAAUUGUAUAAUCUGGCUGGAAAAAAUAAGUAGGGUCAAGCAGUCUUUUAUCCUUAAUUUUGAACUAUGAAGCAGAGGAAGAGUCUGGCACGUAGCUGCAGAGGCAGAAUGAAGUAACAAGAUAGAGGUUAAUUACAGCAAAUUGGGUCAGUCAGAUGAAACUAAAAUCAGACGGAACGCUCAAAUUUUGGAAUUUUAAGUUUAUUAUUAAAAGGACACUUUACAGAGGUGUGAGGCUAGGCGUGGUGGCUCACGCCUGUAAUCCCAGCACUUUGAGAGGCCAAGGUGGGGGGAUGACUUGAGGCCAGGAGUUCGAGACCAGCCUGGCCAACAUGGUGAAACACCGUCUCUACCAAAAAUACAAAAAUUAGCCGGGUGUGGUGGUGGGCGCCUGUAAUCUCAGCUACUCGGGAGGCUGAGGCAUGAGAAUCGCUUGAACCCGGGAGGCAGAGGUUGCAGUGAGCCGCGAUCGCGCCACUGCACUCUAGCUUGGGCGACAGAGAGAGACUACCUCUUAAAAAAAAAAAAAUGCCGGGCGCGGUGGCUCAUGCCUGUAAUCCCAGCACUUUGGGAAGCCGAGGCGGGUGGAUCAUUUGAGGUCAGGAGUUCAAGACCAGCCUGGCCAACCUGAUGAAACCCCGUCUCUACUAAAAAUACAAAAAUUAGCCGGGUGGUAGUGGCGCGCCUGUAAUCCCAGCUACUCAGGAAGCUAAGGCAGGAGCAUCUCUUGAGCCUGGGAGGCAGAGGUUGCAGUUAGCCGAGAUCACGCCACUGUACUCCAGCCUGGGCAAUAGAGUGAGACUCUGUCUCAAACCACCACCACCACCACCAUCACCACCACCAAUAAAAAAUACAAAGCGCCACUAAUAACAGAGCUAGUAAAGAUGGAUGGGAAUAUAGGUGGAAGUACAAUCCCCUUUUAAUUGCAACAAGGUUCGCCAGGUUGCUUAGGGUUGGGCAAACUGGAGAUCACUGACACGGAAAACAAGAAAACCCUUAUUGUUUAUAGCUGUUAUGUAUGAAUAGGUUAUUAGCCUUAGGAAAAUUAUUUGUGCCGAAU